AUGAACCUGCUACUGAUUUUCCUGUUCAUGCUGGAGGCCCCUUCAGGUGUCCUCUCCCAAGUGCAGCUGCGGGAAACAGGCCCGGGAGUGGUGAAACCCGGGGAGUCCCUGACAGUCACUUGUACCAUCUCCGGAGACUCGGUUUCUAGCGACAGCGCGGCCUGGCACUGGUUCCGGCAGCCCGCAGGGAAAGGGCCGGAAUGGAUGGGACGCACAUGGUAUAGGUCUGGCAUGUGGAACACUGAGUACCCCAGCUCUGUGCAGAGUCGAGUGAUCAUCACACAAGACACUUCCAAGAACCAGUUUUCCCUGCAGCUCCGCUCGCUGACAGCUGCAGACACCGCCACCUAUUACUGUGUGAGGCAGCCACACACACACAGUGACACAGAGCAGAGCGGGACUGGUGCCCGUUCCCAAAUCCAUCUGGUCCAGUCCGGACCGGGCGCGGUGAAGCCCGGAGAGACCCUCUCACUGACCUGCACCAUGUCUGGUUACUCCAUUUCCUCUGGCUACGACUGGAUCUGGAUCCGGCAGGCUCCUGGGGAAGGCUUAGAUUAG